rnacentral:lncRNA from 1 species
GUAUACACGUGAGCGGCACGGCGGCGCGAGGCGAGCGCGUAGCUCCGUAGUUAGCGCCCUACCACCGAGACUAGAGAUAGCGGUACCGUUAGCCGGCUACCUAGGGAUGUAAGAAAAUGAAAGGGAUAAGAUUGCAAUAAUUUGUAAUAAAAGUAUGAUUGUAUUUGGAAGUUAAAUGUAAUAUGUAAUUGUGAUGUAAAAUAUAUCUAGUGAAUGUGAAUGCUUGUAAUAGCAAGUAGAUUAUGUUUUUGAUACUUCUUUUUGCAAUCUUUGAUUGAAAUGUGUUCCUGGUUGGAACUUCGUACAUUGUUUUGAUUGUGACGCCUUGAAUGUACAUGGGAGACUCUGUCCGCGGUACAGAGGAAACUCUGUCUGUUCGGCGGUCUGUCAGCGGCACCGCGACCCGGCCAAAUAGGCGGGUGGUCGCGGGUUG